CCCUUAGAUGUUCUGGGCUGCACGCGUGCUACACUGAGUGGAUCAGCGGGUCAGGUUGCGCGAAAGCGUUUCCUAAUCUUGAAAUCCGCUCGUGAUGGGGAUUGACGGUUGCAAUUUUCUGUCAUGAACGAGGAAUACCUUGUAAGCGCGGGUCAUCAUCCCGCGCUGAAUACGUCCCUGCCCUUUGUACACACCGCCCGUCGCUCCUACCGAUUGAGUGGUCCGGUGAGGCUUUGGGAUCUGAGCGGAAAGAGCGUUUCGCUCGUUCUGCCCGGAAAACUCAGUCGAACCUUAUCAUUUAGAGGAAGGAGAAGUCGUAACA
rnacentral:rRNA from 1 species